UAACACGAUAGAGGAUGCGAUUGAUAAAGAGCUAUUUUCGUAGGGACGCAACUUGGAAAUAGGGAGGGAUCGUCGCCGAAAGGGAAUCGAUUUGCGUGUCGAUUUGCCUUGGGCAUAGCAAGAACAUUGCUAUGACUGUCAUUACAGAUAUGGUGAUGAAGAGCUAUCAUUGAA
rnacentral:ncRNA from 2 species